GAGUUAGUUUCCUUACACGUCCAGCGUGGAGUAGGGUUCGGUAUCUGAAAGAGGAGCCGCACAACAAAUGAGAGAAAAAGACACGAGAUAAUUUGGAAAUGUUGGGGAGCCAGGAGGGCAAGUCCAAAUCAAGGAGAGAGAGACUUCCUCCGAUGCUCUGGCUGCUCCAACCUUUUAUUUGGUCUGGGGGAGCCCUAGGGUAAGGAGGUUUGUCUGGGGUAGCCCUAGGGUAAGGAGGUUUCAAUGACACACAGAUUAGGUCAUAACAUGACCCUUAGGCAAUUUACAUGAUUAAAGGUAGGGAGGUUGCUUCAGCUACCAUUAUCUAGAUUAACUGGGUGGUACACAGCCCUGACCUUUGCGAGGGCUUCAAGGUUACUAACUUUUGGGGUCUCUGUCUAUACUCAGCUAAUAAAGACAGUAAAUGGUUUCCAGCACUUAGGUUCACAUAGGAAUUGAAAGUGGUGAUUCAAGCAAAACACACUUAGACAAGAAGCUUUCAACAUGCAAACUCUAGCUUCAGGAGAAUAAUAUCAGGUUAGAGUAAAAGGCUGGUUUAACAUUUACUAAGAUCAAUAUGGGUAGCUUUAUAUAAGUGUAGUGUAUUCAUUCUCUGUUAUACUCUGGUGCUGGUGAUUAUGACUUCCAGAGGUCUGGAAAAGAAAAUCACUCUACCAUUUCAAAGGUAUGUCAUCCUAGAUGCAUAAGAACAAUGAACAAGGUUCGCUUAAGGUAAAGAGUGACCUUUGCUAAGGAAGCUAUAGGCCUGGGACUACCCACUGUGACCUGCCAAGUUAGGAUUUAUGAUCAGACCAGCCUGUGUGGUCACUUUCAGUAACUGAGGUUGCCUGCCAGGCUUGCCAUGUGGACCACCCCCGGAGCUUGUCAUAUUUAUUACAAAGCCCCAAUUUUGUUCACAGGCUCAUUAGAAAAAACAAAACAAAACAAAAAAACACAAAAUAAAAAC